rnacentral:rRNA from 1 species
AGCAGCCGCGGUAAUUCCAGCUCCAAUAGCGUAUAUUAAAGUUGUUGCAGUUAAAAAGCUCGUAGUUGAAUUUCGGGAUUGGCGCAUCGGUCGUGCCUCACGGGGUAUGAACUGGUGCAGUCAAUUUCUCGCCUUCUGGAGAACCGCGAUGUCCUUAAUUGGGUGCCGCGGGGAACCAGGACCUUUACUUUGAAAAAAUUAGAGUGUUUAAAGCAGGCAUUUUUGCUUGAAUACAUUAGCAUGGAAUAAUAAAAUAGGACGGCAUGGUUCUAUUUUGUUGGUUUCUAGGACCACCGUAAUGAUUAAUAGGGAUAGUUGGGGGCAUUAGUAUUCAAUUGUCAGAGGUGAAAUUCUUGGAUUUAUUGAAGACUAACUACUGCGAAAGCAUUCGCCAAGGAUGUUUUCAUUAAUCAAGAACGAAAGUUAGGGGAUCGAAGACGAUCAGAUACCGUCGUAGUCUUAACCAUAAACUAUGCCGACUAGGAAUCAGACGAUGUUAAUUUUUUAAUGACUCGCUUGG